UACGUUUAAACAUCGUCAAGGGGCUUUC
rnacentral:piRNA from 1 species